rnacentral:rRNA from 1 species
AGAGUUUGAUCCUGGCUCAGGAUGAACGCUAGCGGCAGGCUUAAUACAUGCAAGUCGUGGGGCAGCAGGGGUAGCAAUACCCGCUGGCGACCGGCAAACGGGUGAGGAACAUGUACGCAACCUUCCUUUAACUGGAGAAUAGCCCCUCGAAAGAGGGAUUAAUACUCCGUAACAUCCCGAUGUGGCAUCACAACGGGAUUAUAGCUCCGGCGGUUAAAGAUGGGCGUGCACCUGAUUAGAUAGUUGGCGGGGUAACAGCCCACCAAGUCUGCGAUCAGUAACUGGUGUGAGAGCACGACCAGUCACACGGGCACUGAGACACGGGUCCGACUCCUACGGGAGGCAGCAGUAAGGAAUAUUGGUCAAUGGACGCAAGUCUGAACCAGCCAUGCCGCGUGGAGGAUUAAGGCCCUCUGGGUUGUAAACUCCUUUUAUCUGGGAAGAAAUGUACUUUUUCUUGAGUACUUGACGGUACCAGAGGAAUAAGCACCGGCUAACUCCGUGCCAGCAGCCGCGGUAAUAC